rnacentral:rRNA from 1 species
UACGGAGGGUGCAAGCGUUAUCCGGAUUCACUGGGUUUAAAGGGUGCGUAGGUGGGAAGGUAAGUCAGUGGUGAAAUCCCCGAGCUUAACUUGGGAACUGCCAUUGAUACUAUCUUUCUUGAAUACCUUGGAGGUGAGCGGAAUAUGUCAUGUAGCGGUGAAAUGCUUAGAUAUGACAUAGAACACCAAUUGCGAAGGCAGCUCACUACACGGUCAUUGACACUGAGACACGAAAGCGUGGGUAGCAAACAGG